UAGAGUUUGAUCCUGGCUCAGGACGAACGCUGGCGGCGUGCUUAACACAUGCAAGUCGAACGAUGAAGCCCAGCUUGCUGGGUGGAUUAGUGGCGAACGGGUGAGUAACACGUGAGUAACCUGCCCUUGACUUCGGGAUAACUCCGGGAAACCGGGGCUAAUACCGGAUAUGAGCUACCUUCGCAUGGGGGUGGUUGGAAAGUUUUUCGGUCAGGGAUGGGCUCGCGGCCUAUCAGCUUGUUGGUGGGGUGAUGGCCUACCAAGGCGACGACGGGUAGCCGGCCUGAGAGGGCGACCGGCCACACUGGGACUGAGACACGGCCCAGACUCCUACGGGAGGCAGCAGUGGGGAAUAUUGCACAAUGGGCGCAAGCCUGAUGCAGCGACGCCGCGUGAGGGAUGAAGGCCUUCGGGUUGUAAACCUCUUUCAGCAGGGAAGAAGCGCAAGUGACGGUACCUGCAGAAGAAGCGCCGGCUAGCUACGUGCCAGCAGCCGCGGUAAUACGUAGGGCGCAAGCGUUGUCCGGAAUUAUUGGGCGUAAAGAGCUCGUAGGCGGUCUGUCGCGUCUGGUGUGAAAACUCGAGGCUCAACCUCGAGCUUGCAUCGGGUACGGGCAGACUAGAGUGCGGUAGGGGAGACUGGAAUUCCUGGUGUAGCGGUGGAAUGCGCAGAUAUCAGGAGGAACACCGAUGGCGAAGGCAGGUCUCUGGCC
rnacentral:rRNA from 1 species